CCGGGGGGUGGGAGGUGGGGAAGUGAGAAAUGACACCUUACUUCCAGAUUAUUUUCCUGCAGUAUACGCAAAGUGAAAUCUUCCAUAUGUUGCCUUGUUCUUGAAUUUUCCUGAACUAAUUUGUCUUUUUGAACCUCUUCUAGGACUUAGAAAUAAAGUUAUGGUUAUAUGUGACGUGGAUUGUUAGGAAUGGGAAUUUCAACUCUUAAUUAUUUGAGUGGCCAGUCAGGCUGAGAAGGUAUCAAAUUUGGAAAGGGCGAAAUAUAUCUUGAUAGUUUGUUCAAGUGAUUAUUAACAGAAUAUGAAUGAAAUUUGUUAGUAGUGCAGAGUGAUAAUCCUUAUUGGUUAUUUACUGUAUCAAGCAGGUUUGUAAAGGUGGCAGUUGUUGUACUGUUCAUCAAGCCGUUGCAAAUUCUGAUAAGGAUGGUUUUGGAAAUCUGUACUCCUGUGAAACUGACAAAGGCAGAAGACCUGCCACCACCCGCUGAAUGGAAAAUCUCUGGAUAAAGGGAUCCACAACUGCCACAGGAUCUUCUAGAAAGUGUUAUAAUUCCUCCAGUGUGAUGAAUGCUAUCACAGCUCACUACGAUAGCACACUGGAAAUCAAGUCCCACUAUUCCUGGAGUCAUCACAAAAGUUAAAGAUUUUAAAAUAAAGUACACAAAAUUCCCCAAUUUACCUGAUUUUCAGACGCAGGUUGACAGAGAGCAUGGACCGGACUUUUGUUCUUAACAAGAAUUAGUAUUUUAUUAGAAGUAGUUAAACUCUAGCUACAGGUAAACGGUUAUAUGUUGGCAUAUAACACUACAAAUUAAAAACUAUCUGUUACAACCUCCCUAUUGCUUCUGUGUGUCAAUGUGCACACAAGCAGACGAGGUUAUGAGCAAAGGAGAAUUGAGAGGCAGGUCAGUGGUUCAUAUUCAAAGGUUUGUGAGAUGGUCCUUAUGAUUCUUGUGCUGGUCAGCACAUUGUGUUUCAGUUUUUUUUCCCCCAGAUGCUUCCACUGAUUUGCAAGAGACACAGGGUGGCUGGUUCACUUAUAAAAGAUUUCUGAAUUGUCAGUUAAAAUUGCAACUUACAACUGCUGAAGGCAAAAUGCUAGGCAAAAUUAACUGGUUUUCUUUAGGUUUAAGAUGGGUUUGACUGCAGCGAACAGAGAAACGGGUUUCUGUUCUGGUGGAGACCAGUACACUUCUCUGCAGCUUGUUCCAGCCCCAAGCUGUAUCACAAAGUUGUUGACAGGCAAAAAGACUUCUGUCACUGGUCUAUAGACUAGUGACCAGUUAUCAAUGAACUUCUUGUUGCCACCCAGCUUCAUCUGUACAUAGAAUCCCUUGGCUUCAAUUUGCCUACAACCACUACCGGCCUCUGAACAAACUUGUUCAAACAUGUUAUGGAGUAGGUGGGACUUGAACCUGGGUCUUCUGCCACUGCACCUCAAGAACCCCUGACACUUGCCUUACGUACUUUUUAAUAGCAACUAUCAGAACCUUUAAAUUUCAAAAUAUAGCAGCUGACUGCUGUGAAAAGUUGUAGUUUGCCUUCCUCAGAUAGUUCUGCACUAUGAAAGAACUGUCAGAAUAGUUGUAUGCCUUGGCGCUUGAGGGACACCUGAGCAGAAUCUCCUAUCAGCAAUGUAGAGCUCCCUUCUUUCAUUUUAAAACAAACAAAAAGGGGCUGGAGUAGUGAUCAGCGUGAUCUAAUUAAAUAGCAGAGCAGGCCUGAUGAUAGGAACAGGCCUCAUCCUAUUGCUAUGUUUAUAUCCCCUUCCCACCCUCACUUUGGCUGCAACCUCUAACCAGUCCAUCAGGGCUUGGGCUCACUGGAAUCUGUGAGCAUCUGCAAGAUCUGGACUUCACCUUGCUUUAAAUCUGCUGUAUUCACCCUGCCAGCCGCUGGCUUAUGAUUUCCUUCAGAUUGUUUGCUAUGCAGGGAUUCACACCAGCUUGCUUCUGGGCAGAGGACUGGAUUGGAAAACAAAAGAUGUCAAACUCAAGUAUAUGGUCUUCCUGGCCAAAAUUCAUUCCUCCUAACUGUCAAAUCCUGCUCCAAGUGAAUGUCAGAGCCAUUUAGCGUUUCUCUUUGCACAAUACUGAUCGAUCUGCUGAAUAUUUCAGGUUUCCAGCAUGAGCAGUAUUUGCUUGUUAUUUAAAGUUAUGCUUUUGAAACAGGAAAUGUAAAAUGCGAACAGGAAUGAGGGAUAUUCACUAGCAAAAGUGGAAACAAAAGGACUUAAAUGAGAUUAUUGAUCAUCCAGUGAGUGCCCAGGCAAUAUGACGCUGUUAUUGAUAUGGUAAAUAUAAUACUUAGUGCAUUUCUAAAGCAUUUCAGUUCAAAUAAAUUACUUUAACCUUUUAUUUCACAUUGGUGAGCUGUGUUUGGAAUACUGUGUGUAGUUUUGGGAACUCUGUGUUGGACAGUGAUUAGUGAAGUUUGUUUCCUAUGCUGAAUUGUGUAGAAGGCAUUAAUUUAUUACAUUGCUGUCUGUGCAAUGCAACACACUUGUCUCCACUCAUGGUAUUAUCUUACCAUGCAUCCAGCAACUGAGUUUUCCAUAAUUGGUUUAUAUUUUAAGUAGAAAACAGUUUUGCCUUGUCUUGGAGAUAGUAGGAACUGCAGAUGCUGGAAAAUCUGAGAUAACAAGGUGUAGAGCUGGAUGAAUCCAGCAGGCCAAGCAGCAUCAUAGGAGCAGGAAGGCUGACGUUUCGGGUCUAGGCCUUGUCUUGGAUUGUGUUGGCAGUAGAAAUACGUUUCGAUGUGUGCAGGUCAACUGCCUAAUCUUAACCCACUACAUUGACCACUACAUUUUGACCUGGUGAGUAUUAUUUGUUCAUCAGCAUAGUUCUUGGGGUCAGGAGAAGAGUCAAGCCUUCCAACAAACUAAGGUGCUAGGAAAUGGUUCAGAGGACAACUAAGGAUGGUUUCAGGUAUAUAAGCACGACUAUCAUGUGGAAAGAAUGUAUCAAGUCUGAUUUGGGAAGUGGGCCUGGGCCUGAGUCCAUAGUACCACAUUAAGAAGUAUGUCAAAUUAUGCAUUUCGGGUUUUCCAUAGCUUUCUGAAGCAAAUAUCGUAGGCAUCACUUUCAACAGGAACUGCUAAUUAAGUGGGGAAAAUUAUUCACAUCUUCCUCAAAACAGCAAUCAGUAGUGAUAGAAGCAAAUGUUCCUUUUUAUUUCAAGAUGACUCAUGGUUUAAUGACUCGUGACAAACAGAAUACUGGGAAGAAGCCUAAAACCAAUGGUCUUUCUGCUAUUAUGUACCAACAUUACUACUGUCACCAGUGACCAAUUCUCAGUAAAGAAAGUUUUCAGCAACUUUUUAAAGUGAGUCCUCAGGCUGAUAAACGUGGGGUAGUUAAGAGGGUCUUAAAAUACUGUUUGAAAGAUUUUUUUCUUAGAUUAUUUAAGAUUUUGGUUUAUAUUUUUUAUCGGCAAGUUAAUAGUCCUAUUCUGAACACUUAUGAGUCCUUAGAAGGUAGAAAAUCAUCAACCACUCCAGGAUUUCAGCCACAUAUCCUUUCAGAUACUGAACUUAUUAGGCCAAUACAGCAUAUUCACACUGCAGCAAAACUCUUAAGUUUAAUCUGACAUGGAAAAUGUGAAUUUAACUGAUUAAUUUUCAAUGAAUCAAUAUCUCUUUGGACUAUUAACUUAUGGGUGAUUAUAUUCUAAAUUGACAAAUAGUGCAUGACUAUUCUCUUUAUUUGCAUUUUCCAAGAAAGGAAUUUUAUCUUUCGUUAUUUCCUCUGCUCCCUUUCAUGCAGGAAAGGCUUCAGUUUGUUUAACUUCAUUCAUGAAAAAAAUGAUCCUCAGAUCUUUUGGAAUGAAAUAUCUUUCACUAGCCUAGAUGCGUCCUGGAAGGUUGGGUCCAUUACUUCAGAAUAGCCAUUAAUUCAAGCUCAUUUCCUCAUGGGACCUUUUAACAGAUAACAGUCUGUUCAAGCUUUGAAAUAUGAAGAGUGGCUCUCAGUAAUGAGUACAUUGUCAUGCCUUUGAGAUGAGAUUUUGUUGUAAAGCGCGUAAUGAAAAGUAGAAUUAUUUUAUCAUUCAGGAAGACUGUGGUUGUAAAUUGACCAUCUUUAUUUCUAAAUUGUUAUUAAACCUUGCUCUAACAAA